UGGUGCAGCGGCGGCGGCUCCUGUUCCUGCCGCAGCUCUCUCCCUUUCUUACCUCCCCACCAGAUCCCGGAGAUCGCCCGCCAUGGCUUUACUUACUGCGGCCGCCCGGCUCUUGGGAACCAAGGCACCCAGUGGCAAGUACUAGCUGAGCAUUUGGGAGAUGCUUGUCUUACUUGGCUGUUGCUUCUCCUGCUGCUGGGGAAAAGGCCCGGCAUGCCAGUGCUUCCUCCACGGUAAGGUUUGGAAAAGAAGACUAAGAAUAAGAAUCAUUGCGGCCAGCCUGACCUUGGGGCAGAGGAUUUGGCAACCACCUGGCCUCUUAUUAUCCUGAGUAUUUCCUGGAAGUGUUUGUUACUAUUGUUAUUGUUAUAGCUGCUAUUAUUAUUAUAUUACUAUUUAACAAAUAAUUUACUCAGUGGUAUAGUGAGAUGGGAAUAUCAAUACAUUUGCCUAAUUCUUUUAAAUGUUUUAAGUAGUGUAAAAUAUACAUAACAUAAAAUUUACCAUUUUAAUCAUUUUUAAGUAUAUGGUUUAGUGGCAGUAGAU
rnacentral:lncRNA from 1 species